UGGGCAACCAGUCCAAACACACAUACCAAGAGCACAAGAACCGCCGCUCCAUAUUCCAGGUAAAAACUGGAAACCUUCUGAAUAAGGAAACCCCAUCUGACUAGCAAGGAAACAAUAAGCACUUCAGUGCAUAUGGGGGCAAGAAGCAAAGAUCGUCCUUAUUCCUUCUGUGUCCUGAACCACCUAGAUGAACAGAGCUAAACCUAGAGUUGGUACAAAGACUCCAAAUUCCCAUCAUUCUCUAGUUACACUCCUACAGAAGUCAUCCGAAGGAAGAGCAGCAAGACAUUUGCAUUUUUGUUGAUGAACUUAUCAAGGUCAAGAAAGAGCUCCUAGUCAGUUUUCUGGAAGCAUAUGAGAGGUUACCUGGGGAGUAGGGUGAAGGGAUGAAGGAGCAAGAAAAUGUAUCCCUUAGGUUGCAAAACAGAGGAAUAUUAAAGCAAUGAGCUGGGGUGCUCUCACCUGCAAAUAAAGUGAAGGCCACAACA